rnacentral:rRNA from 1 species
AGCAGCCGCGGUAACACCGGCGGCCCGAGUGGUGAUCGUGAUUAUUGGGUCUAAAGGGUCCGUAGCCGGUUUGGUCAGUCCUCCGGGAAAUCUGAUAGGCUCAACUAGUUAGGCUUUCGGGGGAUACUGCCAGACUUGGAACCGGGAGAGGUAAGAGGUACUACAGGGGUAGGAGUGAAAUUUUUGUAAUCCCUGUGGGACCACCUGUGGCGAAGGCGUCUUACCAGAACGGGUUCGACGGUGAGGGACGAAAGCUGGGGGCACGAACCGGAUUAGAUACCCGGGUAGUCCCAGCCGUAAACGAUGCUCGCUAGGUGUCAGGCAUGGCGCGACCGUGUCUGGUGCCGCAGGGAAGCCGUGAAGCGAGCCACCUGGGAAGUACGGCCGCAAGGCUGAAACUUAAAGGAAUUGGCGGGGGAGCACAACAACGGGUGGAAGCCUGCGGUUUAAUUGGACUCAACGCCGGACAACUCACCGGGGGCGACAGCAAUAUGUAGGCCAAGCUGAAGACUUUGCCUGAAUCGCUGAGAAGAGGUGCAUGG